AGGCAUUCCUGGGGCAGGGAGAAAAAGAACGAACGCUGGCGGCUGGCUCAGAACGAACGCUGGUUUGCUGGCUCAGAACGAACGCUGGCGGCCCACUCCUACGGGAGGCAGCAGUGGGGCUCCUACGGGAGGCAGCAGUGGGACUCCUACGGGAGGCAGCAGUGGGACUCCUACGGGAGGCAGCAGUGGGACUCCUACGGGAGGCAGCAGUGGG
rnacentral:misc_RNA from 1 species